ensembl:lncRNA
AGUGGUGCUCCACGUGUUGGGAGAUGAUAAAGGGAGGCAUGGCUCUUCAGGGAAAUGUGAAGAGCAAAACCAGUCUCCUACUUCAGGAAGAAAACAGAUCCCUGACCGCAGAUUCCAGACAGGCCAGGAUCCUUGAGAAGCCUGGGCGGACCCUCUUUUCUCCAAUAACAAAUGCAUUGGAUCAACAACAACAAAAAAAAAAACCAACAACAACAACAACAAAAAACAACUUUGUUGACUCCAGUAAUGGUACCCUUUAAAUAAACGAUGGUACUUCUCUUACUUAAAACAGGACAGGAAAUUGUGUUGGGUCAGGUCUUUGUUCCUCUCCCGAUUUUGAUGACAGACAAAGCAGCAGGCAACAGCUUCCCUAAUACAUCUCAAUUUUUUGCAGCUGCAGGAAGAACACUUAAGUCUUCCUCACCCUCCUCCACCAUUUGCUGUUGUAGCCCUGCACACGUUAGGGAGGCUUCCCCAGAAAAUGAGAGAAAAAACAUAACAGCAAAAUUGGGCUGACUGAGUCAGUGGUGUCUUGCCUUUGAGCAAGACCACAUAGUGCUUUGGCAUGGAGGUGGGAGGGUUUUGUGCAGCAUAUCCCUCUGGGGAGUGAGCUGCAGAGAGAACUAAAACAGCACUUUCUUGCAGGUGGAAUUACAACUUUUCCUUGAGGUUGAAUCACAGGGCUAAAAGCUCACAGAAACUCUGCUUCCAUGGGAAAUGGCCUAAGCCCACCAGAUAGCAUAAGCAUCUGGAUCUAGCCUUGCAGUUGGGCUCAGGCUGUGAAAUCAGACCUUGCCUCAGAAAUAGGGAAAACAAGCUGUUACCCAUGACUGAAGAAAGACAGCGGUCUAGGCAUACGGAGGAGCCUUUAUCUUGUGGUGGGGAAAAAUAAGGGGACAAGCUGCUUGAACAAAUGACCUCUAUCUCCCCCUGUGGUCAGAUACAAACAAGGCUGAUUGCUUCAGCAAGGAAAAAUACUGCAGCAUUUUCCUUCCUUUCCUUUCCUGUGGGAAAUUGUCCUCUGAACGCAGCAGCCAGCUCCCUGUAAAUUGUCUUGUGCUUAUCCUGGGGUAGAAAUGGUCCCCUGAUUUUUGGGGCACCUGUUACCUUUCUCAGUAUGAAAUGGCCAGUUGGAUCUUGUUAUGACAAGCGUCAAUCCCAAGACAGCCACAGAACUGUCUCUUGUCAACAGAGGAGCUGAAAUUAGGAAAAACUUCUAGUGACCUGCUGAAGGUUACCAGCUGCCUUCAUGUCAGCACCAAGAUUGCAAUACCAGACUAACUGGCCUCCAGUCAAAGGCUUGGCCCCACCUAUCCUAUAUAUAGAUUAUUGUAUCAUAUGUUCCCCCUUAUUGCUAUGCAACUGGGUGUCAGAACAAAAACACAAUUAAACACCAUGCUUUUAGCCC